rnacentral:rRNA from 1 species
GAUGAACGCUGACAGAAUGCUUAACACAUGCAAGUCAACUUGAAUUUGGGUUUUUAACUUAGGUUUGGGUGGCGGACGGGUGAGUAACGCGUAAAGAACUUGCCUCACAGCUAGGGACAACAUUUGGAAACGAAUGCUAAUACCUAAUAUUAUGAUAAUAGGGCAUCCUAUAAUUAUGAAAGCUAUAAGCGCUGUGAGAGAGCUUUGCGUCCCAUUAGCUAGUUGGAGAGGUAACGGCUCACCGAGGCGAUGAUGGGUAGCCGGCCUGAGAGGGUGAUCGGCCACAAGGGGACUGAGACACGGCCCUUACUCCUACGGGAGGCAGCAGUGGGGAAUAUUGGACAAUGGACCGAGAGUCUGAUCCAGCAAUUCUGUGUGCACGAUGAAGUUUUUCGGAAUGUAAAGUGCUUUCAGUUGGGAAGAAACAAAUGACGGUACCAACAGAAGAAGUGACGGCUAAAUACGUG